GACGAACGCUGGCGGCGUGCUUAACACAUGCAAGUCGAACGGAAAGACCCUGCUUUUGUGGGGUGCUCGAGUGGCGAACGGGUGAGUAACACGUGAGUAACCUGCCCUUGACUUUGGGAUAACUUCAGGAAACUGGGGCUAAUACCGGAUAGGAGCUCCUGCUGCAUGGUGGGGGUUGGAAAGUUUCGGCGGUUGGGGAUGGACUCGCGGCUUAUCAGCUUGUUGGUGGGGUAGUGGCUUACCAAGGCUUUGACGGGUAGCCGGCCUGAGAGGGUGACCGGCCACAUUGGGACUGAGAUACGGCCCAGACUCCUACGGGAGGCAGCAGUGGGGAAUAUUGCACAAUGGGCGGAAGCCUGAUGCAGCAACGCCGCGUGCGGGAUGACGGCCUUCGGGUGGGAAACCGCUUUCGCCUGUGACGAAGCGUGAGUGACGGUAAUGGGUAAAGAAGCACCGGCUAACUACGU
rnacentral:rRNA from 1 species